CUAGUAGCACAAACUUAACUUUAGGGACUAAAUUGAAAAUCACUCUAGGCCUUAGGGGUUUAAAGCUUUUCAAUCUAACUAUCGCCCACUAAGUCGUCAAUACUCGUAAUGACAUUCCCGACGAUGAGAGCCGUCGGAGGACCCUUGCUCUGCAUCGGCGACCUACUCUCCGACGUCGGAGAAGGAGAUCAGCAAGCUGUUAGCGGUGGUGGGUCCCACCACCCACAAAACCUACAACCACUCGAUUCCGAUCCUAGUCUCGUCCCCUCCGAUCUCCCCAAGCUCUUUCAGAUUAUCAAGAAGAAGAAAGACUAAGAAGAUGCUGAGGUUUUGGCAUGAAUUUCCUUGGGAAGAGGUUCUAUAUUUUGCCUACAUCAGCAAAGAAAGCUUCAGAACUUAAUUUAAGUCUACACUCUCUGGAUAUGUUAUCUUAGUGGGGUUUUUAGGUGUAUCCAGUUAUCUGUUACUUUUUACAUCCAGUAUGUACCCCUAUUGGCAAUUCUCAGAUGUUCACAUGUCAACAUUUCCAUUUGCCUGGUAGCUAUAUGCUCAGGAGUCGGAAAAAAUGUCAGGGAAGAGGGGUGAUGGCUGGGGUUCAAAAUUUUUUCUGUUUUAUUGUGAAGUUUCUAUAUAUGGACCAAAUGCCCCUGAAAUAUGGUUUUGCUAGCUGUUGUGCCUUUACAACUAAAUAGCAAUUGAAAGCAAUGAAUGACUUAUAUUGUACAUUUGACACCAAAAUAGUGGAGUGAAAAAAUUGUUUGAGGAAUAGUUUUGUGGCCUCUUAGCUUUUUCCCCUGGUUAGAAUUAUAAUUGGAGAGUGAAUACGCUAAAUCUUGUAAUCCUCUCUUUGUAAUUCCACUUGCCAGCACAACUCUUGCUGGCUUUUCCUACUCCUUUUGUUUUUGUUUUUGUUUUUUGUUUGCUCAGUACAUAUGCGUCAACCUAUCUGGAAGUUGAACUACCUAUUUGCAACUAUGUACUGAAUUGCUGCUGGUUUGGCUUUUUCUCUCUCAAAACUACUUUACAGAAUUUCUGAUAGUUGAUGAUGGAUGAUAAAUGAGCUUUCUUUGUUGGUUACACAAUUGACAUGCAAUUGCCAGUAUUCAUAUAUGAUUGGUCUUUUGAAAACCAAUAUUCUUUUGUUAUGUGUCUUUGUCAAUAACCUAAUUCAUGCGGUGAUGCUUCUCUUGCUAACUUUUUUUGUAAAGAUUUCUGAGAACUUGUCUUGGUCUUAUAUUCUGGUUUUUUAAGCUUCAGGUCAUCUAAUUUUUGAUGUUCAAAGGAACUGGAAUCUCGUACACCUCCCAAAGGAAUUUAAUUUUGUAAUGGAAUUGGUAGCAUUAUGCAAUUCGUGUAAAACACUUCACGCAAGACACAAAAAUAUAGCAAGAUCUGCAAUUCUUCUUCUUUUUCAUCAUUUUUUUUUUGUUUCAAGGAGAGAGAGGGAUGGUGCAGAGCAAUCAUUUGGAUAGUGAAUAUGUCAGUUGUGGUCAGAUUUGUGGAAUAAGUAUGACCUAAAGAGAUCAUUGAUUAUUUGGUAAGGUAACAUGAAGAAGAAUAUAAGAAAGCUUGCCAAUGGUAACGGUGGAAAAAGAAUGUUGAAUAAUUUAUGCAAGAAUGUGGCAUCUUGAGAUGAUGACUAAUUUAUUCAAAAUCUAAGUACCCUCGAAAAGUAAUGGACAUUGAUAUACUUAAUGAUGAUGGAUGCCUUUUUUAAGUUUAAAAUUUGUUCUCAAAACUCUAAGAAAUUUUGUGAACAAAAUGAUAUUUGACUUAGAAACCCUUCAAUGGAGGUUCCAAUACCCUACAACUAACAUUUUAUAUAAAUAGGAGAAGGGAAACUUAUUCCCCCACCCCCACAACUCCCCAUCCAAAAAAAAAAGGAGGAUGAGAGCAUGGUUCACAAGUGGUGCAACUGAAAUGAAAACCUGACAAGCAUUAUAACAGACAAGGAAACUAAUUUUUUCUCAUUGAGUUUAUUAUGAAAAAAAUAUAAAAUCGGUUUAUUUUCUCUAUGAGUUUUGUUUGUUAAUGUUUAUUUUUGUGAAAUCGACUUGACAAGACCAAAAUCCCUAAAAAACAAAGUAUAUUGAUUUUUUUUUUAAAAUAUUUUUUCUAGUAGGGGAGGGGCUGGAUUAAAGAACUAGGGAGGGAGAAGAGGGAUUUGAACCAAGGACUUAUAAGUAUAUUGGUUGAUUAACUUGUUCUUACCCAAUCAAUGUUCUUACAAUGCUAGAUCCAUCCUGAUCAAAGAGACAAACAAGAAGCUAUAAAAUUGAAUGGUGCAGUGUGCUUAUAUUCAUUAGUUGCAAUUUGCUGGUAUUCAUAUGUUCUGAUGGUUUUAGGAGUUGGAUGCAUCAUCUCAUCCUGUACUAGUACUUGAACUAUUUCAUCAAACAAGCAUCUAUCACAAAUAGUUUACUUUGAUCUUUUCCUUUCAAUGCUGGUUAAUUGGCUUUUACAAGUUAUGACUUCUUAGAUGAUCUAAUUUGCUGUUUCUUGUCUAGGAGAACUAUGACCAACUGGAUAAGGCAUUAGCUGGCACAGAUCAGUCAUGGACAGCUCUUACGCUUAAGCUUUGCACGGCUUUAGAAACUGGGAACAAGGUGGUGGAAUUUGCCAGUUCUCAUAUUGGCUUGUUAUCCGAGAAGGUUGAGAAGCUUGAAAGAAUAACUAAACAAAGAGAUUCUGCCAUAGAAGCUGCAAAAGCCAUUCAAGGUUUCUUAGAGCAGAAUGAAGUUUUUCCUCGUGAAAAUAGCUUUGCCCAAUCUGAUACUUAAAUUACAGGAAGAAAUUUGUUGUGAAAAAUGUCUAGAAUGCAUGAGAGGACCGGCUAAAUAUUUUAUGGCGGUCCUGACUGCGAAAAGUUUUUGUAACAGAAAUUUUGCUACUUGGCUUUUGCAACGACUUUACAUGUACUCAUGUCUCGCAUUUAGCAGCAUUUUUCUCUUUA